rnacentral:rRNA from 1 species
UACGUAGGGGGCAAGCGUUGUCCGGAAUCAUUGGGCGUAAAGAGCGUGUAGGCGGUCCGGUAAGUCGGCUGUGAAAGUCCAGGGCUCAACCCUGGGAUGCCGGUCGAUACUGCCGGACUAGAGUUCGGAAGAGGCGAGUGGAAUUCCCGGUGUAGCGGUGAAAUGCGCAGAUAUCAGGAGGAACACCAAUAGCGAAGGCAGCUCGCUGGGACGUUACUGACACUGAGGCGCGAAAGCGUGGGGAGCGAACAGG